CGAAUGCUGACAUAAGUAACGAUAAAGCGGGUGAAAAGCCCGCUCGCCGGAAGACCAAGGGUUCCUGUCCAACGUUAAUCGGGGCAGGGUGAGUCGACCCCUAAGGCGAGGCCGAAAGGCGUAGUCGAUGGGAAACAGGUUAAUAUUCCUGUACUUGGUGUUACUGCGAAGGGGGGACGGAGAAGGCUAUGUUGGCCGGGCGACGGUUGUCCCGGUUUAAGCGUGUAGGCUGGUUUUCCAGGCAAAUCCGGAAAAUCAAGGCUGAGGCGUGAUGACGAGGCACUACGGUGCUGAAGCAA
rnacentral:rRNA from 1 species